AGCGAACGCUGGCGGUAGGCUUAACACAUGCAAGUCGAACGGCAACACAGUAAGAGUUUGCUCUUACGGGUUGCGAGUGGCGUGCGGGUGAGGAAUACAUCGGGAUCUACUUUUUCGUGGGGGAUAACGUAGGGAGACUUACGCUAAUACCGCAUACGACCUACGGGUGAAGGCAGGGGAUCUUCGGACCUUGUGCGAUUGAAUGAGCCGCUGUGGGAUUAGCUAGUUGGGGGGGUAAAGGCCCACCAAGGCGGGGAUCCGUAGCUGGUCUGAGAGGAUGAUCAGCGACACGGGAACUGAGACACGGCCCAGACUCCUGAGGGAGGCAGCAGUGGGGAAUAUUGGACAAGGGGGGCAAGCCUGAUCCAGCCAUACCGCGUGGGUGAAGAAGGCCUUCGGGUUGUAAAGCCCUUUUGUUGGGAAAGAAAAGCAGCAGGUUAAUACGCCGCUGUUCUGACGGUACCGAAAGAAUAAGCACCGGCUAACUUCGUG
rnacentral:rRNA from 1 species